rnacentral:rRNA from 1 species
CCUACGGGUGGCAGCAGUGGGGAAUCUUGCGCAAUGCGCGAAAGCGUGACGCAGCAACGCCGCGUGGGGGAAGAAGGCCUUCGGGUUGUAAACCCCUUUCAGUUGGGACGAAGCUUCGUCGGUGAAUAGCCGGCUGGAGUGACGGUACCUCAUUAGAAAGCCACGGCUAACUACGUGCCAGCAGCCGCGGUAAUACGUAGGUGGCAAGCGUUGUCCGGAAUUAUUGGGCGUAAAGCGCGCGCAGGCGGUCCUUUAAGUCUGAUGUGAAAGCCCACGGCUCAACCGUGGAGGGUCAUUGGAAACUGGGGGACUUGAGUACAGAAGAGGAAAGCGGAAUUCCACGUGUAGCGGUGAAAUGCGUAGAGAUGUGGAGGAACACCAGUGGCGAAGGCGGCUUUCUGGUCUGUAACUGACGCUGAGGCGCGAAAGCGUGGGGAGCA